AAAAUAAAUAAAUAAACAUGUUAAAUCUGCCAAAUAGUUCAGAUAAUUUAUUUAAUAUAAACUUAUAUCAUUCAUAUUUUAUACUUUUUCCAUUAUAUCAUCAUUCAUACUUUCUCAAGCAAAUAUCACAACUCCAUUAUUUCCUCAUAUAUCUAAAUAUACUUUGUAAUAGGUUAUAGAUAAAUUCUUAAAUACCAUACCCCAUGCACCACGUUCAACUAUAGAUAGAUUUUUAGGUAUACUUGAUUAAUACCCUUACCAAGGUUGAGUAACAUAUUUAAGGGUAUAUUUAGUAGUUGAUAAGUGGUGGUGAACAAGUUGGGUUUGGAACCCCACAAGAAGUAGAGAUCCUUCUAGCACCGGGAGAGCUAAUAUACUGCUUUAGGUUAGGGUCUUUAAGGUACCCACAUAAGCAUGGUAUUUGUUCCCUUAUCUUCUGGCAACAAAUGCUUGGAGGUGGAAGAUUUCUAGUGAUUGCUUGAAAACAAGGGCUUAACUCCUCUGGGAUACAAUUAACAGCAUCAACUUUGAAGGACAAUUCCAUAAGAAGCAGUAACACUAGCACCAUUCCACACACAACAUAGACCUUCUUCAUCAUUGUUCUUUGUCUUUGGCUUUUGUGACUACACACAACACAAGUGUUUGUGUAAUAACUCAGUGUAGGGAUGAGUUGAAAGUGAGAUUCUGAGUCAGUUUAUAUAAGCUGAGGGUAGAGGGUUUGAUUUGGUGUUCAAUAAAUGAUCAAAUUGUUUAUUGAUUGAUGCAUUAAAGGCUAAGGCCCCACAAAGACUUUGAAAUUGAGCUGUAAUUGUUUUGCAAUAACUUCACUCAUAUAUCAUGGCAAUAGCAUUGAGUGUGUUAUAAUUGGCAAUUUAGUACUCAUAUACUAUCUAUACUACUAUAUAAAGGUAAAACAUAUUUAAGGGGUAUUUAGGUAAUUAAAUAAACAUAAUUUUUGUGUUCUUAUUGUGUUUUUACUACUAUUAAUUAUUUCCAUGUUUGCAAUUUUAUCCAUUUGUAGCAUCUCAUUAAUAACUAUAAUAAACUUCCACAUGUUUUUUUAUUCUUUUCCAUCGAUGCAUCACUAUUAUUCUAUACAUUCUUCUACUUCUAUUCUCUCUCUUAAUCACCCUAAGAAGAAAAACUUUUACCAGAACGAGAAACAUCCAAUAACACAUUUAUUGAAAAUUUAUGUACACACUUGAUACCAGAAAAGCAAGAAUGUGAGUCGAAAGACACAUUGUAUCGAUCAACACAUUAGACCAUAUAAAUUACAAAAGAAUUGUAUUCACUAAGUGUAUGAGUUUUAUACAAUGUCAUCAUCUUAUCUAGUAUCUACCAUUCAUAAUUAAACAUAAUUUACUAAGCAAUGGAUUAUAUAUCAAAUAUGUAUAAAUUUCUAGUAUGAUGGUAUAUAUAUAUAUUCUAUAAAUUAAUUAUGAUGUUGCAUAUCCUCCUUAAUGAAAAAUACAUGGCCUUCCCAAAAUGUUUCUUUACAAAGUAAAUAAAAAAUAAAAAAAUACAUAAAAUUAAAUUAAAUUAAAACACUCAUCUAAUAGUUUAUUUUUUACAGAAAAAUGUAUAUACUGACUGUAUAUGAUUUUUAUAGACUGUCAACAUAUCAUUCACCUUUUAUAUUUUAUUAUCUUUGAUUUUUUUUUUUAAAUUACAAACGAAUGAUAGAUGAUAUAAUAAUUGCGUAUAAGUCUUUACAUUAACACUGCAUAAAUAUUACAAGUUAAUACAUCAUCUACCAUUCAUGUUUAAUCAUAAUUGACUCUUUAAAAAGGUAAUAAAAAAGGAAUAGUGAAUGAUGUAUUGAGCGUGUAUAAAUAUUUACAACGAUAAUGCAUAAAUAAUACACUUAUGAAAUUAAUGUUUUUCUCUCUCUCUCAAUACAAUCAUAAUUGAAAUGUGAAAUUUUUAAUUCUUACUAUUUACUAUUGUGAAGUUUUUAAUUCUUAUCAUUUACUAUUGUGGAAUUUUUAAUUCUUAUCGUUUACUACUUUAACUUUAAUCUGAGGCAGUAUAUUUAACACAUUUUUAUAUCUUUAUGGACCAAAAAUGUAUUUCUUAAUUUGAGCAAUACUAUCACUAACAAAACAUGAGACACUUUUUAAUUUCCCUCCACAAAAAAUGAAAAAUAUUCAAUUUGAAUAUUUAACAAUUAACAGUAAAAAAUAUGCACGGGAAAAACAUGAAAGAGUAGGAUAACAAAUGAUUUGCCUUCUCUAAGACCAAAAUUUGUACACUAAUAACAUUUAUAUAAAAAUAUAAAAGAGAAAUGAAAUAGAAAUAAACACAAUAUCAUAUAAAAUAUCAAUUUUGGUGUACAAAUAAGUAAGCAAUCAACAUGGGAUUGGUGUAGUGGUUUAAGGCACUGCUAGAUCAUGAGGAUGACUAAAAGAUUAAAAGCUCGAUUCAUGGGAGCAAAACUUGUUGGGAAGGGAAGUCACAAACCCAAAAAUGAAUUAGUUCUUUACCUAUAAGGUGAUGGAAUAUCAUUGGUAGUACCAAAAAAAGUAAGUUAGGUAACCAACUAGCUAAUCGGGUGAAACAUGCACUUUAUAUAGUGACAUUUUACUUUUUUGGUGCAACGAAGAGUAUCAUUCACCCUUUAGGUUUAUACAAGUCAAUGCAUCAUCUACCAUUCAUGUUCAAUCACAAUUGACUGUUCAAGCAUGUAAUAAAAAUGAAUGAUAAAUAAUAUAUUGAAUGUGUAUAUAUCUUUACACCAAUAGUGCCUAGAUAAUGCACUUAUGAAUUUAAUGUAUUUUUUAUCUCUCAAUACAUUCAUAAUUGAAGUGUGAAAAUUUUAAUUCUUAUCAUUUACUAUUGUGAAAUUUUUAAUUCUUAUCAUUUACUAUUUUUACUUUAAUUUGAGGUACUACAUAUUUAACACAUUUUUAUAUCUUAGUGGGGCCAAAUAUGUAUUUCUUGAUUUGAGCAAUACUAUCACUAACAAAACAUGAGACACACUUUAAUUUCCCUCCACAAAAAAUGAAAAGUAUUCGAUUUGAAUAUUUAACAAUUAACAAUAAAACAAUAUGCCUGGGGAAUAAACGAAGGAGUAUGAUUUCAAAUGUUUUGCCUUCCCCAAGACCAAAAUUUGUAUACUCAUAACAUGUAUAUAAAAUAAAAAAGAGAAAUGAAACAUAAACAAACACAAUAUCAUAUAAAAUAUCAUUUUUGGUGUACAAAUAAGUAAGCAAUCAACGUGGUAUUGGUGUAGUGGUGCAAUGCCCGAUUAGAUCAGCGGGAUGACCAAAAGAUUAUAUGUUCAGCGAAACUUCUUGAGAGGGGCAGUCACGAACCCCAAAAAGUAUUAGUUCUUUACUUGUAAUGUGAGGGAAUAUCCUUGAUAACUAAAAAAGGAAGUUAGGUAACCAACUAGCUAUAAGGCGAAACAAGCACUUUAUAAAGUGACAUUUUACGAUUUGAAAAGUCAAUUGUGAUUAAAGGUGGUCAUUCAACCGCAUUUUUUAGAACAAAACUUUUAAAAACAAGGCAGAAGAUAACCAAUAACGCUCAUUAAAACAAACACUUUUAUAUUAAAUAGGCGGAUAUAACAUCAACACCUCAAUCAUGAACGAGCAUUAUUGAAUUAGCAUUGGCUUGAAUGAGUAUUUUUUAACAACACACCAUUAACCAAGUGCUGUUAAUUUAUAUCAAAUCAACAGCGCAAUAUUUAGAGAGCUUUGUUGAAUAUAACAUAGUAACAACACUUUCUUAAAUGAGCAAUGUUGCUAGGAUACGACAUUUAAGCAUCAAAAGUUGCUUAAAGAGCGUUGUUGAAGAUGACAUAUCAAUAACAUUCUCUUGAGUGAACGUUGUUGAAGUUGUAAUAUCAACAAUGCUCUCUUGAUUAGCAUUGUUGAAGAUGUCAUAUUAACAAAACUUUCUUAAAUGUAAGCUAUUGAUUUGAUAUAGUGUUUAAAUAUGAGAAAAAUUAAUAGUGGAGUAUUUGACCUAAACGAUAUUCUCUCAUUUAUACGUCUAUUUGUUUCUAUGCAUAUUCUUUGUUUCGUUGCUUCUUGAUAUGAGUUGCACAUGUGCCAAUGAUAAUCUUGAAAUUUUGGCAACAUAUAUAAGUGUUUAAUUUGUGGUAAUCUUAAAAAAUUUGCUCUUGUUUUACAAUAUAUCUCAUUAAAUAUUCCUCAUGGUGUACUAAUAUGUGUAUGUGAUUUUUAGAAUAUAUGUGUUGUUGAUAAUUGUAUAUGCAUGAAACAAUAAUGCAUGCUCUAUGGCAAGUGUUGUUGUAUUAAUAAUAUACAACAACGUCCUUUUAUACGAUGUUGUUGCAUAUGAUUAAUACAACAAUGCUAACAUAUAAUAACACUCAUUGGAGGUAGUGUUGUUGUAUAUAAGACAUACAACAGCACCUGUAUAAGUGUUGUUAAAGCAUGUCGUAUUCUACUAUGCUUAAAUAGACAACGCUCAAAAGUGUUGUUAUAUAUCUAAAAUACACGCUUUUAAACUACAACUCUGUCGUAGUGGAUAUUCACUUUAUGCAUUUGAGUGGAUAGAGAUUUACGGUGCAGAGUUAGAAAUACAUAUUAUUUUUGGUUCUGGCCGUCCUCGGAUGCUUUUGCCUUGUCACGAAGCAUCUCGCUAAAAUUCCUCAUUAUGGAGUAAGAUGAUUAGUAUGAGAAUAUAUUAUUUUUUUAUUACAAUAAUUGUGUUUGGAAGAAUUGUUGAUGAAUGGUUUGCGGUUUAUGAAAAUUGAGUUUUUUUGUACAAUCAAUGGUAAUCCCUCGCCUUUAAUUAUAUAUAAUUAAUGAUAAAAAAAUAUUAACUAUGUAUGAAAUCACCCGUUCAGAUCAGACGGUUUAAUAACAUUGGUCAUUACUUCAAAUUCGUUUAAAAUUCAUCAAAUCUCAUUUAAAGGGAAUCAAAUAAUUAUUGUAAUUAUCAAAUAAUUGUUGUAAUUAUCAAAUACUGUAAUGGAUUAUUCCUUUAAUUUUCUUAUAUGUUUUUAAAAAUUAAUGUCAAAUUAUUUCCUUACCAUAUUUUUGAACAUUAAUCUGAUAUGAGUAUCGUACAUCAUAAAUGAUUUUGAAGGACCAAGUUUUACGGUACUAAUUUUAGUACUAUAUGAUUUCAUAACUUCUCUUGUUACAGUUUUGCAUAAAUCAAAAAUAUAUUAGAUACUCUAAAUUUUAGUGAAAUAUAUUUAAUUAAAACAUACAUACUAUACAUAUACUACUAUAUCUAACGUGUAAAAACAUAAAUAUUAGUUAGACUAAACAAUAGUAUAUUGUAAACCAACAGAAAAAAUAAAUCUAAUUUUAUCCUAAACGUGAACACAAAGAAUAAUAGUUACUCAAAUCAUUAUAAACAAUUGUCUAUGUAUCCAAGAGAUAGAACCUAACAUAAACUUCCACAUGAAUAUCUUAUCAGACAGAUUACCCAUAAAUGGCAUAACCAUGUCAAUAAUGAUGGAGUUAUGAAGAAAAUGUGAGCUAUAUGAAGAGUUGAUUGAUGGAGUUAUAAAGAAAAUGUGGGUUAAGAAGAGUGAUUUUUGGAGUCUUUUAUCUUGCAUGAAGUAGGGAGCUUUUAGAGGAAAAUUUUGCAUAAGGUGUUGACUGCUAACACAUGUACCCAGCUGAUGUGACAAUAGAGGUUAUAUGUGUAUUCGCACGAGACGUUAUCAAUAAUUUUGGACACUAAAAUUAGAAAAAAAAACACUACAAUGCUCCCUACAUCACCUGGAGAUAGAUGAUUGUAACAUAUUGGUUAUUCAAAUCAAAAUUAUUAUAAACAAAAUCCAAUUAGAAAAAAAAAUGAAAUAAAAAAAGUCAAUAAAAAAAAUUAAAGAAUAAAUAUAAAAAUGUAGUAAAGAAUCAGAAAAAUGGGUUUGUUAAACAAUAACAUAAACAAGGAAAAAACGAUAGUGGUAGAAAAGAUUUAACAAUAAAUAGAUAUAGUAUUUAUCCUGAAAAGGAACUACUCCACCCCUAUUAUAUGUCUUAAACAAAUAAGAAUGGAUGACAAUUUGCACAUAUAUUUGAGUAUCCAUGUGGGACUGUCCUUUAAGAUAUGGACAAGACCAAGAAGAUUAUACCUAUAAUAUUUUUAAUAAAUAUCUAUAAGUUUAUAGAGAAUUGUGUAUUAUUUAUAAAUUGUCAGUAUAAAAAUUUAUACAUUAUCCAUUAUCCAUCAUUCAUUUGUAUUACUUUAGAUAACAAAAAACAAUAUUGGUGGAAGGCUCUUUGGUUUCCCACUGGACCAUUUGGCACAUAAGGAACAAAUACAUUUUUAAUAAUAUGAGGUUCAAUUUAGAUGAUAUGAUGAAACUUAUUUUUUUGAAUUCUUUAAGCAUUCUCAACGCUCGCUUUUCAUUGUUCUCUUAUUCUUUUAUCGAUUGGGUGAGAUACCCUUCAAAUUGUCUAUCUCUUUGUUAAUUAUGGGAUUGUAUGAAUAGGAGUAUCAUUUGUUCUCCUAAUUACUUUAUCUCUUGUUUAAUAAAGAUUUCAUUGUUGAUAAAAAAAUAACUAGUUAAGUGUGUGGAAUAAAUUAAAGUAUAUUUAGAUUGAUUUUGAAUUUGAGUUUCUGGAAUCCGUCAUUUAUUUUGAAAACAAAUAUAUCUGCCAAUUAUAAUGGUCAUAGAGAAGAAAUUAUACAAUUUUAUAUACUCCCUAAAGGAUUUCCACUAAAUAUGGUAUAUCAUAUGGAGUCAAGUCAAGUAGUAUAAGAGUCAAAUGAUAUUUAUGUUUUGGUCUUUUAAAAAAUAUAUCAAUAAUUUUAAAGAUGUAUUAUUUUAAUAAAUAAAAAAGAGAAGAGUGAUUUCAUAAUCAAAUUCUCUAUAUAAAUUUAUAAUUUAUCAAUAAUCCUACCUAAUGUAUAAUGAAUUAAUUAUGAGAAAAUUACAGUGACACCCCUUCAAAUUUAACUUUAUUAUAUUGAUCAUCUUUUUUUUUGUCUAAAAAUUACAUUCAUCUCUCUUAUAGAGGUGAUCAGUUUAACAUAUAUCAAUUGAGACCAAAUUAUUAUGCAAGUGCAAAAAUUGAGAAAAAUUUAUAAAAUUUCACUAAAAUUUAGGGAUUAUUAAUGUAAUUUAAUCAUAAACAAAAUUAUGACCUUGAUUGCACCAUUAACACCAGAUCAAGAUCUAUAAAAAUGUUAAAACACCCUAAAAAAUAAAAUUAAAAAAUAAACAUGUUAAUCUGCCAAUCAAUUCAGAUAAUUUCUUUAACAUAAACUUAUAUAAUUCAUAUUUUAUACUUUUUCCAUUAUAUCAUCAUUCAUACUUUCUCAAGCAAAUAUCACAACUCCAUUAUUUCCUUAUACAUAUAUGCUCAGUAACAAGUAACAGGCUAUAGAUAAAUUCUUAAAUAAAUACCCCACACACCAUAUUCAACUAUAUUAUAUUAAUACCCUUGCAAGGGUUAAGUGACCUAUUUAAGGGUAUGUAUGGUGGUUAACAAGUUGGGAAGGGAACCCCACAAGAGGAAGUGACCUUUCUAGCACCAGGAGAGUUAACAUACUGUCUCAAGUUAGGGUCUUGAAGGUACCCACAUAAGCAUGGUAUUUGUUCUCUCAACUUCUGACAACAAAUGCUUGGAGGUGGAAUAUUUGAAGUAAUUGCUUGAAGACAAGGGCUUAACUCCACUGGGUUACAAUUCACAGCAUCAACUUUGAAGGACAAUUCCACAAGAAGCAGUAACACUAGCACCAUUCCACACACAACAUAGACCUUCUUCAUCAUUGUUCUUUGUCUUUGUCUUUGUCUUUUGUGACUACACACAACACAAGUGUUUGUUUAAUAACUCAGUGUAGGGAUGAGUUGAAAGUGAGAUUCAGAGGCAGAUUAUAUAAGCUGAGGGUAGAGGGUUUGAUUUGGUGUUCAAUAAAUGAUCAAAUUGUUUAUUGAUGAAUGCAUUAAAGGCUAUGGUCCCACAAAGACUUG
rnacentral:lncRNA from 1 species